UACGGAGGGGGCAAGCGUUAUUCGGAAUUAUUGGGCGUAAAGGGCGCGUAGGCGGCUAGAUGUGUCAAAGGUGAAAUCCCUCGGCUCAACUGAGGAACUGCCUUUGAAACUGUCUGGCUUGAGGCCGGGAGAGGGUAGCGGAAUUCCCAGUGUAGCGGUGAAAUGCGUAGAUAUUGGGAGGAACACCAGUGGCGAAGGCGGCUACCUGGACCGGUUCUUACGCUGAGGCGCGAAAGCGUGGGUAGCAAACAGG
rnacentral:rRNA from 1 species